AUUGAACGCUGGCGGCAGGCUUAACACAUGCGAGUCGAGCGGAGAUGAGGUGCUUGCACCUUAUCUUAGCGGCGGACGGGUGAGUAAUGCUUAGGAAUCUGCCUAUUAGUGGGGGACAACAUUCCGAAAGGAAUGCUAAUACCGCAUACGUCCUACGGGAGAAAGCGGGGGAUCUUCGGACCUUGCGCUAAUAGAUGAGCCUAAGUCGGAUUAGCUAGUUGGUGGGGUAAAGGCCUACCAAGGCGACGAUCUGUAGCGGGUCUGAGAGGAUGAUCCGCCACACUGGGACUGAGACACGGCCCAGACUCCUACGGGAGGCAGCAGUGGGGAAUAUUGGACAAUGGGGGGAACCCUGAUCCAGCCAUGCCGCGUGUGUGAAGAAGGCCUUAUGGUUGUAAAGCACUUUAAGCGAGGAGGAGGCUACUGAGACUAAUACUCUUGGAUAGUGGACGUUACUCGCAGAAUAAGCACCGGCUAACUCUGUGCCAGCCGCCGCAGUAACAC
rnacentral:rRNA from 1 species